rnacentral:lncRNA from 1 species
GGAAACAUUGUGGGUCACAGACAUGAAAUGAUUUGUGUGAAGUAACAGUAAAGCAGAAUGGCUACAGACAAUUAGUUCAGAAUUGAAGAAGAGAUGCAGGUCUUUGUUCUAUAUGGUGUAUGAGGGAACCAUGGUGGAAAUUUGGAUUUCAUGACAGUCAUAGAAAUAUCUAAUAAGUCUGUAGGAAAGUGAUGUGUGUACCAGUCUGUCAGACUUUUACCUGUCUGUCCAGUCAACAAAUUCGCAAUAGAUUCGUAGAUUCUCAAAUAAUUUGGCAGAGUUUUCACAGUUACUAAGACAGAUUGCAAAAGAUUUUUGGACUAUAUUCCUGUGCGGAUAGAUUAAAAAACUACUCCAGACUGGUAGACAUGACAGAUGUUUAUUGGAAAUAUGAACAUGGACUUAAAACUUUGAUGUGUAGCAAAAAAAUUCAUCGUUGAUGAUAGUGAUUUUCUAAGCUAUAUUGACUGGAACAGGGUUGUUCUUUACAAAUACAGAGCUGUCAAUGCUGCAUUUUUGUUGUGAAAGUCACAAUCCAUGUCAGAAGGUGCUUGUUUUACUAUACAGCAAAGACGAAGAAAUUGUACUGGGAAAUAGUUAAUUUUGAAUAUCUCAGCAACCAAAGGGUUUACAGCAAUGGAACUUCACACACUAGUAGCUGAUAACAAUAGAAACCAGUGGCUAAAAGGAUUUUAUCAAGGUGAUGAAUUCCAUGCAUUGGUAGAAACUUAGAAUGGUACCACCAGUCACCAACACUCCCUAGACCAGAGCAAACUAUUAAGUCGUAUGGACAGAAGCUGCUGUUUCCAGCGUAGCACUGUAUAGUAGCUGCUCUUAUUGCCGUACCCAAAACCCUGAAAUGAGAGCGCUUGAACAAUGUGAAGUUUGUCGCAUAGACGGGGAUUGGCCGCCUCUGUGUAUAUAAGUCUACAACUUCUCAGAUUUGACUGAAGACAAUUGUUUGGUGUUGUGAAUGGAUGUGGUUCGGCCGCAGGCUUUCCAAUCACACAGAAGAUACUGGUUCUAUUACAAGAAGGGUCACAUCAAUUGAUAUUAGUCACUGGAAAAAUUUGGAGAACCAGUUGUAGAUUC